GAUGAACGCUAGCGGCAGGCUUAAUACAUGCAAGUCGUGGGGCAGCAUGAGUAGCAAUACUUGAUGGCGACCGGCAAACGGGUGAGGAACACGUACACAACCUUCCUUCAAGCGGGGAAUAGCCCAGAGAAAUUUGGAUUAAUACCCCAUAAUAUAUUUGAUAAGGCAUCUUAUUAAAUAUUAAAGCUUCGGCACUUGAUGAUGGGUGGUGCGGCUGAUUAGAUAGUUGGCGGGGUAACGGGCCCACCAAGUCUACGAUCAGUAGCUGAUGUGAGAGCAUGAUCAGCCACACGGGCACUGAGACACGGGCCCGACU
rnacentral:rRNA from 1 species